rnacentral:rRNA from 1 species
AUUGAACGCUGGCGGCAGGCUUAACACAUGCAAGUCGAGCGGGGGAAGGUAGCUUGCUACCGGACCUAGCGGCGGACGGGUGAGUAAUGCUUAGGAAUCUGCCUAUUAGUGGGGGACAACAUCUCGAAAGGGAUGCUAAUACCGCAUACGUCCUACGGGAGAAAGCAGGGGAUCUUCGGACCUUGCGCUAAUAGAUGAGCCUAAGUCGGAUUAGCUAGUUGGUGGGGUAAAGGCCUACCAAGGCGACGAUCUGUAGCGGGUCUGAGAGGAUGAUCCGCCACACUGGGACUGAGACACGGCCCAGACUGCUACGGGAGGCAGCAGUGGGGAAUAGUGGACAAGGGGGGGAACCCUGAUCCAGACAUGCCGCGUGUGUGAAGAAGGCCGUAGGGUUGUAAAGCACGUUAAGCGAGGAGGAGGCUACUUUAGUUAAUACCGAGAGAUAGUGGACGUUACUCGCAGAAUAAGCACCGGCUAACUCUGUG